rnacentral:rRNA from 1 species
AUUGAACGCUGGCGGCAGGCCUAACACAUGCAAGUCGAACGGCAGCACAGAAGAGCUUGCUCUUUGGGUGGCGAGUGGCGGACGGGUGAGUAAUGUCUGGGAAACUGCCCGAUGGAGGGGGAUAACUACUGGAAACGGUAGCUAAUACCGCAUAACGUCGCAAGACCAAAGUGGGGGACCCUCGGGCCUCACACCAUCCGAUGUGCCCAGAUGGGAUUAGCUAGUAGGUGGGGUAAUGGCUCACCUAGGCGACGAUCCCUAGCUGGUCUGAGAGGAUGACCAGCCACACUGGAACUGAGACACGGUCCAGACUCCUACGGGAGGCAGCAGUGGGGAAUAUUGCACAAUGGGCGCAAGCCUGAUGCAGCCAUGCCGCGUGUAUGAAGAAGGCCUUCGGGUUGUAAAGUACUUUCAGCGGGGAGGAAGGCGGUGAGGUUAAUAACCUCGCCGAUUGACGUUACCCGCAGAAGAAGCACCGGCUAACUCCGUGCCAGCAGCCGCCGCCG